CCUUAAGUAGAGGCAGAAGCAGGGCGUGGCGGCCCCGCUGACUCACCCCCAGCCAUUUCCACACCCGCCGCCCACACCUGGCACAGACCCUGGCCCUGGGGCCACCCGGCGGCCCAGCGCCUUCUUGCUGGGCCCGGGACUUCCCUCCACUCACUGAGGGUUCCCAGUCCACCGCCCGCCCCCUCCGUUGAGCUAAGAAUCCUGAAGACAGUUAAGGACGAACCGCCAAGGACAGAGGGCACCCAGGGGGCCACCAUCCAUCCCGGCCAUGUCCCUGCCGCUUGGCACAGGGGAAAGGGUCUUUGCCCAUUUUAUCUUGGACAUCUGGGGCCCCGAGAGGCCCACCCGGGGCUGGAAGCGGGGCCCCUCUCUCCCAGGCUGGGACCUGCGCCUUGGGCUGAGGACGCGUCCACCGAAAUUCCAGCUCACGCUCCCUCGCGUGACGGUGACCCCGGCAAGGACAACGCUGUGCCCGCGGGGCUCCGGGGGACAGGACGUGUGCCUGAUGAGCCGCGUCUCCCGGGGCCUAGAGCAGCGGCUGGUACACGGUCUGGGCUCCUCAAGUGCGCCUGAAAGACGAAUAAGGAAUGACACCAGCGCCUGGUCUGAGGCCCUGGGCGCCUGGCGCACACAGGACCUCCCCGAGCGCUCACCGCUAGCCGAGCGGGGAAGGGGAUCGCUCGCCCCCACUUCACAGACCAGGAAACCGAGGCUCAGACACGGGAGGCCGUUUGCCCGAAGGCGCACGGCCGGGCAAUCCCUGGAUGUCUUCUUCGGGGCUGGAUGUGUCUUCACACGCUGCCAACCUGCAAGUCCAAACUCGACUGUGACUUCGCUCUGGGCCCAAGUGUCAGCAGUCGAUCUGUUAUCAGUUGAUGGCGGGCUCGUUUCUCAGAAGCCAGGCGCGCGCGCACGUGCCGGAGCCCCAUUCUCUGGUGUGGAUCAUCUCUGCAUCGGGUCUGGAAUGAUACUUUCAGGAGCCUUGUUUCCAUUCCCAGUGAGUCGUGACCGUGCCUGUGUCUCAGUCCUCGUGCUUUUUCCUGAGCGACGCCUCGCGUUCCGAAGACGCGCAGGUUGUAACAGAACGAGGGUGGGAUUCGAGAAACGUCCGGACCUGAGCAACCCCCACCCCCACCGAGUUUCCCCGAGCCCCAGAGACAGCCAGCCCCCCUCCGCCCGCCCUGCCCGGGACAGCGCUGCCAGUCUGGGCGUCCCGUGGCCACCGUGUCAUGUGUCCCGGGAGUGGAGAGGGGUGGCCAGCAGGCUGAGUCGGCGGACCUUCGCCCUCCUGCAGGGAACAACUCUGGUGACUGAAAAGUAACCCCGUGUACCCACCGCGCUUGUGGGCAUUGAAACCCCCAGGCUCUGCCAGGGUCAGCGUGUUGGGGACUCUGGGCCGGUUUUGUACACGGUGAACAUCAGUCCGGGGGCCGCUUUGGUUUCAUGUUGUUUUGUGGGAAGAUUUUGGUUUUGAAGUGAUCUCCGCGCCCGGCGUGGGGCUGGCACUCCCCACCCAGAGAUCCGGGGUCCCAAGCCUCACGGAGCCAGCCCCGCGCCCCGCGGGGCUGCUUUGGUUUUACCUUGACACUUGAGAAGCUGGGCGGCGGAUGUCCCCUCAUCGCCAGCUGCAGGUUAGGCACUGUUGGCUGAAGAGCCACAGAAGCGACAGCGCCUGCCUCCUCCAGCUGCCUGGCCCCUCGCGUGUCCCAUGGCUGCCAUGUGAGGACAGAGCAAGAAGGAUCCAUCUAUGAACCAGGAAUCAGGUUCACACCGGACACCCGAUAUGCUGGCGCCGUGAUCGUGGACUUCCCAGCCUCCAGAACCACGAGAAAUAAAUUCCUGAUGUUUGUAA